rnacentral:rRNA from 1 species
AGAGUUUGAUCCUGGCUCAGAUUGAACGCUAGCGGGAUGCUUUACACAUGCAAGUCGGACGGCAGCGCGGACUUCGGUCUGGCGGCGAGUGGCGAACGGGUGAGUAAUGUAUCGGAACGUGCCCAGUAGCGGGGGAUAACCACUCGAAAGAGUGGCUAAUACCGCAUACGCCCUACGGGGGAAAGCGGGGGACCUUCGGGCCUCGCACUAUUGGAGCGGCCGAUAUCGGAUUAGCUAGUUGGUGGGGUAAAGGCCUACCAAGGCGACGAUCCGUAGCUGGUUUGAGAGGACGACCAGCCACACUGGGACUGAGACACGGCCCAGACUCCUACGGGAGGCAGCAGUGGGGAAUUUUGGACAAUGGGGGCAACCCUGAUCCAGCCAUCCCGCGUGUGCGAUGAAGGCCUUCGGGUUGUAAAGCACUUUUGGCAGGGAAGAAACGGCUCUGGCUAAUACCUGGAGCUACUGACGGUACCUGCAGAAUAAGCACCGGCUAACUACGUGCCAGCAGCCGCGGUAAUACGUAGGGUGCAAGCGUUAAUCGGAAUUACUGGGCGUAAAGCGUGCGCAGGCGGUUCGGAAAGAAGGAUGUGAAAUCCCAGGGCUUAACCUUGGAAUGGCAUUCUUAACUACCGGGCUAGAGUAUGUCAGAGGGGGGUAGAAUUCCACGUGUAGCAGUGAAAUGCGUAGAGAUGUGGAGGAAUACCGAUGGCGAAGCAGCCCCCUGGGAUAAUACUGACGCUCAUGCACGAAAGCGUGGGGAGCAAACAGGAUUAGAUUACCCUGGUAGUCCACGCCCUAAACGAUGUCACCUAGCUGUUGGGGCCCUUCGGGCCUUAGUAGCGCAGCUAACGCGUGAAGUUGACCGCCUGGGGAAGUACGGUCGCAAGAUUUAAACUCAAAGGAAUUGACGGGGAACCCCCACAAGCCGGGGGAAUGAUGGGGAUUAAUUUCGAUGCAACGCGAAAAACCUUAC